GUCUGCUUUACUAAGGGAAUCUAAUAGGGAAGCUGUUAGUUGUAUGGAAAUUGUUUAUUUUAUUUCGUCGAACGGAGAGUUAUAAUCACUGAUACUCUGGACGUUCGGUAUGAAACUAACAAAUGGUUAUUGGUUAUACCAGGUUUCCUUACAACUAUAAUUCCAACUGCAUGCUGAGUGACAUUGUAAAUCUUGCCAUGGUAACAUUUGUGGGGCAUACCUUUUUGAAUUGUGCCCAUUGCCUUUAUGUCCACAAUAUCACCCUUCUUGUAGAUGCACAUGUAUGUUGAAAGUGGAACCCCAUGUUUACGGAAGGGUCUGGCAAACAUAUAUAAUGGGUUCUACAUCCUCUUCUUCGUGUGUUCGUCAUUUUUGCAAUUUACUGCAAGAUGGCGGGUACGGUGCAAAGAGGAUACCUGUUUGAAUUUUAAUUGCUGGUUGCAUUGGUAUUUUCAACUGUACAUAAGAAAAGAACAAAACAUGUUG